UGAAAUUUCUUAAAAACUCGUGUGUUAACAAAAACUUUUGGCUGAAAUUGGGUGAAACUUGAAAAGAUGGGUAACACGUAAGUUUUUUCAACAUUUAGGUUCCCGAGGUCAGUAUGAGAAGAAUUGAAGACUCCACAAGUAUGGCGAUUCACUUAGUUCCACUGAAAGUAAUAGUCCCAACACCUUUACCAAACAAAGGUGUCGUGAGUCAUUUAGGCUCAAUUGCGAGUAAAAUGAUAAAAACCACAAGCUUUUGAUGCUAUAAUGGUUCAAUUAAUAUUAGGUGAUGUGUAUAAGCACACAAGAAUGGAAAAACACUAGUACAGCCGCCAAGGGGGCUCCUUGACCCGCCGAGGGUCGCCAAGGGGCCGCUUUGACCUACCAAGGGAUUGCUUUGACCCUCCUAGACCCGCGUAGGAACCACCUAGGCCUGCUUAGGGGCCGCUUAGACCCGUUAAGGGGCUGCCGAGACACGUCUAGGGCUGUCAAAGGGCUACCGAGAAAAACAUAAAGCCGCCAAGGGGGAGCCUUGACCCGCUGAGGGCUGCUAAGGGGCCACUUUAACCUACCAAAUGACCGCAUUAACCCUCCUAGAUCCACGUAGGGACAUUCUAGACCCACGUAAGGACAUUCUAGACCCGCUUAGGGGCUGCCUAGACCCACUAAUGGGCUGUCGAGACACGUUUAGGGAAGCCAAGGGAUUUCAAGACAAACUUAGAGCCGCCAAGGGGGUGCCUUGACCCGCCGAGGGUCACCAAGGGGCCGUUUUACCAAACAAAGUUGUUGUGAGUCUUUUAGGCUCGAUUACGAGUAAAAUGAUAAAGGCCACGAGCUUUUGAUGCUAUAAUGGUUCAAUUGAUGUUAGGUGACGUGUAUAAGCACACAUGAACGGAAAAAAACCAAACGUUCAGAAAAAGUGAAAUUUCUCAAAAACUCGUGUGCUAACAAUAAGUUUUGGCUAAAAUUGGGUGAAACUUGAAAAGAUGGGUAGCACGUAAGCUUUUUCAAAAUUUAGGUUUCUGAGGUCAGUAUGAGAAGAAUUGAAGACUCCACAAGCAUCACGAUACACUUUUUUCCACUGAAAGUAACAGUUCCAACACCUUUACCAAACAAAGUUGUCUUGAGUCAUUUAGGCUUGAUUGCGAGUAAAAUGAUAAAGGCCACGAGCUUUUGAUGCUAUAAUGGUUCAAUUGAUAUUAGGUGAUGUGUAUAAGCACACAUGAACACCUAGACCCGCUUAGAGGCCGCCUAGGGCCGCUAAGGGGUUGUCGAGACCCACUUAGGGCCGCUAAGGAGUGCCUUGACCAGCCUAGGGCCGUUAAGACUUGCUUAGAACCCACGUAGGGACUGCCUAAAGGCCGCCUUGACUCGCCUAGGGCCGCCCAGGGGCCGCCUUGACCCGGCUAGACCCUCCUAGGGCCGCCAAAAGGCCGCCUUAACCUAUCUAGGGCCACCAAGGGGCCGCCUUGACCAGGCUAGGGCCACCAAAGGGCCGCUUUCACUCGUCUAAGACCCGCCUUGGGCAGCCUUGACCCGCUAAGGUCGCCUUAACUUAUCUAGGGCCGCCAUGGGGCCGCCUUUACCCACCAAAGGGCUGCCUUAACGCUCCUUGACCGGCCUAUGGCCACCAAGGGACCGCCUAGGACCGCCAAGGGGCCGCCUAGGAUCGCCAAGGGGCCGCCUUGACUGGUCUAGGGUUGCCUUGGCCCGCCUUGACCCGCCGUGAGCCACCAAGAGGCUGUCUUGACCCAUCUGGGGCCACCAAGGGGCGGUCUUAACCCGUCAAGGGGUCGUCUUGACCCGUCUAGAGCCGCUAAGGGGCCGCCAAGGAGCCGCCUUGACCCUCUAAGGGGCUGCCUUGACCCUCCUAGGGCUGCCUUAACUUUCUUAGACCCUCCUAGGGCCGCCUUGACCUCCUAGGGCUACCAAGGGGUCACGUUCACCCAUCUAGGGUCGCCAUGAGCAGUCUUGGCCCACCAUGAGCCACCUUGACUCGUCUUGACCCGGUUUGACCCUCCUAGAGCCGCCAAGAGGCCACCUUAACCCAUCUAGGGCCACCAAGGAGCCGCAUUGACCUGGCUAGGGCCACCAAGAGGUCGCUAUGACCCACCUAGGGCAGCCAAGGGGCUGCCUUGACCCGCGAAGUGACACGACCCACCCCGAAUUUCACCCUGAAACCCAGAGUAAGUCGUGCGGGGACCACCUCCAAGGAAAAUUUACUGAAAAGAUUAAGCAAAUCUCCCUUGCAGAUGGACAACCCUACGUCGAAAAUUUCAUAUUACACUCUUAAUUUAACGCUUCUGAAUAUCACAUAAUAUACAAAAAUUCUAAAGUAUUCAGAGCUACUAAACUCAAGCGGAAGCAAGAAAACACGAGUAGGUUNNNN
rnacentral:lncRNA from 1 species